UAGGGAAUAUUGGACAAUGGGGGCAACCCUGAUCCAGCCAUGCCGCGUGAGUGAAGAAGGCCCUCGGGUUGUAAAGCUCUUUUGUCCGGAAAGAAAAGCAUUCGGUGAAUACCCGGAUGUUCUGACGGUACCGGAAGAAUAAGCACCGGCUAACUUCGUGCCAGCAGCCGCGGUAAUACGGAGGGGGCUAGCGUUGUUCGGAAUUACUGGGCGUAAAGCGUACGUAGGCGGAUGCGCAAGUUGGGGGUGAAAUCCCGGGGCUUAACCUCGGAAUUGCCCUCAAAACUGGACGUCUUGAGACCGAGAGAGGUAAGGGGAAUUCCUAGUGUAGAGGUGAAAUUCGUAGAUAUUAGGAAGAACACCAGUGGCGAAGGCGCCUUACUGGCUCGGUACUGACGCUGAGGUACGAAAGCGUGGGGAGCAAACA
rnacentral:rRNA from 1 species